ensembl:lncRNA
AUGGGCGGAGUUAGAGCGCUAAUGUCGCGCCCUGAUUGGGCUCCGCGGCUGAUCAGAUGCGCGCUGAUUGGCCGCCAGCGCUUGGUCCGAUUUUGUCUCAUUUUGUUAAUCAGGCCGCGUUCAUGGGACGCCGGAGAGAAACCGGCUCAUUGCGUCCUCGUUAAACGGCGUAUUUUGUCGGCGUGUGUCGAUCUGCGUAGAGGAAGGAUGCUGGAAAACAAGAGGGAGAGAUUUAAAACGUUUCUGAGAAAGAUCGACGAGAGCGCCAUAUCGCGAAUCAAGCAUUUAAUGAAGGAGAGCUAUGCGGUGGACGCCGGGACGAUCCCCGCGAAGGUGAAGAAGGGGAGGACGAAAAGCAAGCUGGGGAGCAGGAAGGGGCUUAGUUUGGAGGAGAAUCAGCUGGAGACCAAGAGCCUGAGCCGGCAGGUCCUGUCCAGGUACGAGAGCGGCGUCUGCAUCAACAUCUAAAAUAUGUGGUGCUUUCACCUAGAGGAAAAAAAUUAGUGUGUGUGUGUUAAAAAAAUAAAAAAAAACUCUAAAAUAAGUGGUGUAUUCCAGGGAUGUGCAUUUCAAGCAAAAGUAAUAUUCGAUAAUCGCUGGGUAUUAUUCGAUUAGUAGUCGAAAAUCGCCCCCCUCCCGCGCAUGCUCCCAUAAACACACACCCAUAAAAAGAGAGAGAGGGAGAGAGACUAUUCAGGCUUUCAAUCUGUGUGAUUACAAACUGUUUAAUUAAUCAGAGAAUAGUGUAUCCUAACCCAAGCCAACUGAUGGUUGUAUGAUUGCUGAAACACAUUAAUAUAACAUAACCGAAUGACGGCACUUAUUAACAUAACGUCCAUCGAUUAUCAACUGCUCACAAGGCUGUAGGAGCCUAGGACAUUUCUAUUUUAAAAAUGAGCAUGAACAUUAAUAGCAUUUUUAAAAAAGUUUACAGAUUAAUUAAGAUUAGAACAGAUUAAUUCAGCCAUGAAUAUUAGGUUUAAAACUCAUUACAUCUGCCCAUUAUAAUAGUUUAGUUUUGGUUUUUAACGGCAAAGAGGUCAUAUUUCGUUUCGAUUCUUUAUUAAUUUAAUUCAGAAAUAUGAUUGGAACAUUUUAUGUUUGUUAAAUUCAAGUUUGUUAGUUUUUUAAAUAGCCUACAAAGCUGCCAGCGCAAGACAGUGAUUGAGCAUUUUUGAUCAGUUUAUCCUUCUCAAAAAAAUAAAUAAGAUUAGCGUCAUAAUAUUUUAGGAAUAAAGUCAAAAUUACGAUAAUAAAAUCAUGUUACAUUGCGUGAAUUCUUCACAUUUAAAACGAAAAACAGCACGAGGCUUACUGACGAUUUUUUAAACUCAAAUUGAUUUAUUUCACGAGAAACUCGUUUGUAUUAAAUUGUUCUGUUUUUUUCAACAUGCACUCAAAUAUUUAUUCGUUUUUAUUUCGUGCUGCAAAUAUUAAACAGGAAAAUAUAAUUGAUUCACAUGCCGCUUGAAAGGAGGCGAAUAUCUCACUACAGAUUAAAGAGCGAAAAAAACAUUUAUUGUUUGUAUUUUAUCUCAAAAUUGACAGAAGGCUGAGGCUUUGUGUUAUAAUAAAAGUAACAAAGCCCAAAGCUUAUUGGGAUUAAAACGUUACAUAUUAUUUCCAAGCAUUUAUACCAUAAUCGAAAGCUUGUGAAUAGUCACACAACGUUAUUUACUUCAGAAAAAUCAAUAUAAGAGUCAAAUUUUUUUAUAUAUGGGCGGUAAAUGUUUAUGGUUAUCAACCAGUGGAAUAUUACAUUUUAUUCUUCCAACAAAUAACAAAUAAUUUUAAAGCAGCUAGCUCGUAAUCACGACUUAAUACGAGGGGAAACAGUUUCUCGCUCAGCACAGUGGAGCGCAUUGUUCUGUUAACUUUGUGGUUUAUUAUUUUGAGUCAUAUUGAAAUAUUCAUUAAAAAUAUAAAUAUUUGAUAAAUAUAAAACUUAUUAAUUUUCCAAUCAUUAAUUCCUAAAAUGUGUUUUUGUAAAAAAAAAAAAAAAAGUUUUUUAAAUAGCCUACAAAGCUGCCAGCGCAAGACAGUGAUUGAGCAUUUUUGAUCAGUUUAUCCUUCUCAAAAAAAUAAAUAAGAUUAGCGUCAUAAUAUUUUAGGAAUAAAGUCAAAAUUACGAUAAUAAAAUCAUGUUACAUUGCGUGAAUUCUUCACAUUUAAAACGAAAAACAGCACGAGGCUUACUGACGAUUUUUUAAACUCAAAUUGAUUUAUUUCACGAGAAACUCGUUUGUAUUAAAUUGUUCUGUUUUUUUCAACAUGCACUCAAAUAUUUAUUCGUUUUUAUUUCGUGCUGCAAAUAUUAAACAGGAAAAUAUAAUUGAUUCACAUGCCGCUUGAAAGGAGGCGAAUAUCUCACUACAGAUUAAAGAGCGAAAAAAACAUUUAUUGUUUGUAUUUUAUCUCAAAAUUGACAGAAGGCUGAGGCUUUGUGUUAUAAUAAAAGUAACAAAGCCCAAAGCUUAUUGGGAUUAAAACGUUACAUAUUAUUUCCAAGCAUUUAUACCAUAAUCGAAAGCUUGUGAAUAGUCACACAACGUUAUUUACUUCAGAAAAAUCAAUAUAAGAGUCAAAUUUUUUUAUAUAUGGGCGGUAAAUGUUUAUGGUUAUCAACCAGUGGAAUAUUACAUUUUAUUCUUCCAACAAAUAACAAAUAAUUUUAAUGCAGCUAGCUCGUAAUCACGACUUAAUACGAGGGGAAACAGUUUCUCGCUCAGCACAGUGGAGCGCAUUGUUCUGUUAACUUUGUGGUUU